ACCACCACCAAUGGAAAGAUAACUUAUCAAGGAUUCGAACGGCACCUCCUGAUCGUCGAAACUCCACCUUUAAGACCUUCCCAUCAAUUAAUUCUUUGAAGAGCCAAAGACUGAAAUUCGAUUUCUGGACAGCUAGUCGUCUUCUUCGCCCGAUUCCGGCGACCAUCUGAUGCAACCACUGCUGGAGGCCACCACCACUAGAAAGCUGACUUCCCAAGCUUUCCAACAAUGUGAC
rnacentral:lncRNA from 1 species